AUUCUUAAAAAAGAAAAGAAAAUACCUGUGAAAAUUUUGAAAGAAAAGACCUGCGAAAUUGGGAUUUUCAUUUAUUUUAGCUUCUUCAACUUCUGAUAAGUUAUUUCUUUUUCAUUUUUAUUAGUGAAUUCUUUUGACCUUCUUUUUUUCCUAACAAAAGAUAAAAAUAAUUGUGGAAAAAUUAGAAGAGAAUUGUUGCAUUUGAUUUCUAUUAAUGAAUAGAUUUUGAUUGAUUUUUGUCUCCUUUACUUCUGCUAAGGAAAAAAUUAUUACUUUUAUAUAUAAGUGAAAAUCAAUGGUCCUUGCGGAACUACUCUUACAAUGAAGGAUUUUUCCCUAAGUUUGCUCGCUACGUAAUACACAUAUACAAAGUAUAUAAGAUCACUAUUGUUUCCACCUGUUUACUGACUUAGCCUUUGUUAGUUACCAAAGAAAAAAAAUCUACUUUUUCUUGUUCUUAAAAAAGAAAAAAUUGGGGAUUUUGAUUGAUUUUUACUUUCUUUAACUUGUGAUUAGUAAAUUUAUAGCUUAGCAUGUGUGGACUGUUUGUUAGACCUGUGAUACAUAGUUCUGUUGCCAGAUCUAUGUUUAAGAGUAUGAUUUAUUGUUUUUGCUUUUGCUCUGAAUACUGGAUUGAAUUUCAUAUUAUGUUGGUGGCUGUUGCAGUUGCAAAGUAUUGGGGUGAACUCACAGUUCAUCACAUUCACAAAUGUUACCAUGGAAUCGGAUAAAUAUAUAUGUGUAAGAGAGACGGCCCCUCAGAAUAAUCUGGUGAUUAUUGAUAUGAACAUUGCCAAUGCAACCUUUGAGGCAUCCAAUUACGACCGACUUUGCGCUUAUGAAUCCUAAUUCUAGAAUUUUGGCUCUAAAAGUUGAUGAGAUUGUUUGUUGGAGAGCCGAUGUGGACACCUUACAAUCGACCACAAGAAGAUCAUCCUGUAGGGAAGGAGUACAUCAAGAGUGUUACUGAAAGAGUAGGCAGAGUGCCUCUUGCAGCACGCUGAGACGCGUAUUUCUUGUUAAAUAGAGCUCCACAAGCCUGUAUAAGGCAAAAUUUUUAGAACGUAGGAAUAGAGGGUUAACUAGGCUGUGGAAUCAGGUAUAAUAGUUCCUUUAUUAUUCUCUCUCUCAAAGUGUUUCUUAAUUUUGGUUGGGUUUCUCUUUAAUUUUCCUUCUUAAUUUCACUUUGUUGCUGGUGAUUAGAAUUUGAUAAUCUUAACUUUCUCAAAGUUUGCCCAUUUCAUUCCAGACUCCACUUUGUGGGAAUACACUAGGUAUGUUGUUGUUGUUGUUGACUAUUUGUGUCUCUUUGUUUUGGCAAGUUAUUUGGUGCAAGCUUUGUUUGUUAAACUCUUUGUUGGCGAUCAAAACCACAACAAUGACAGACAAAGAGGAUUAUUUACCGGAAGUGGGUUACAGUGCCAAAGGUGUUAAUCUUUCCUAGAUUUUGACAAGAAAAAUAAUUUUGAACCAAGCUAUGAACCUAUGGGAUUUGAUGAUAUAACCUGCUUAUUCCACAAGACACUUUUAUUUGAGUAGUAUUCUGAGGUUAACGAAGUACUAAAAUGUUUCACUACUUAUAUUACACUCUCUUUCAUUCUUGUUAAAUAUAUUUGCAGGUUGGCCAAAUUUCCUUUUGCAGUUACUUUUGAGUUUUGUGGAACAAAGGAGUUUGUGAAUUUUGUGAAAUAUUGUUCUUCCUUGUUUGCACCACUGUUGUAAUACCCAUGCUUAUUCCUAGCAAGAAAUCAUCUCAAGUAUGUUAGUACAUGCUUUGAAAUAUAAAUCUAUUUUUGUACCCAUGGUAUUUUUGAGAUUUCUACUUUCUAUCACGUGGGAAAUUGAGUUAGCUUUCUAACGAUACCAAUUUUGUCUAAAUCCGACACCAGACGAGGA